rnacentral:rRNA from 1 species
GACGAACGCUGGCGGCGUGCCUAAUACAUGCAAGUCGAACGCUGAAGGAGGAGCUUGCUUCUCUGGAUGAGUUGCGAACGGGUGAGUAACGCGUAGGUAACCUGCCUGGUAGCGGGGGAUAACUAUUGGAAACGAUAGCUAAUACCGCAUAAUAGUAGAUGUUGCAUGACAUUUGCUUAAAAGGUGCAAUUGCAUCACUACCAGAUGGACCUGCGUUGUAUUAGCUAGUUGGUGGGGUAACGGCUCACCAAGGCGACGAUACAUAGCCGACCUGAGAGGGUGAUCGGCCACACUGGGACUUAGACACGGCCCAGACUCCUACGGGAGGCAGCAGGAGGGAAUCUUCGGCAAUGGACGGAAGUCUGACCGAGCAACGCCGCGUGAGUGAAGAAGGUUUUCGGAUCGGAAAGCUCUGUUGUAAGAGAAGAACGAGUGUGAGAGUGGAAAGUUCACACUGUGACGGUAUCUUACCAGAAAGGGACGGCUAACUACGUG